UCUUCAUCUUCUCUGAAUUUCUUGGCAUAUUCCACAAUAGCUUUGGCUAAAGGGUGCUCACUGUUUACCUCAGCUGCAGCAACAAAUUCGUAAAAAUCCCGAAGCACCAUAUUUUUGAACAGUUUUGUGUUAACAACCACUGGCUUCCCAACUGUAAGAGUUCCUGUCUUGUCAAACACAAUGCAAUUCACCUUGUGUGCACUUUCUAAUGCUUGGCCACCUUUGAU
rnacentral:misc_RNA from 1 species